rnacentral:rRNA from 1 species
GAUGAACGCUGGCGGCGUGCCUAAUACAUGCAAGUCGAGCGAACAGACGAGGAGCUUGCUCCUCUGACGUUAGCGGCGGACGGGUGAGUAACACGUGGAUAACCUACCUAUAAGACUGGGAUAACUUCGGGAAACCGGAGCUAAUACCGGAUAAUAUAUUGAACCGCAUGGUUCAAUAGUGAAAGACGGUUUUGCUGUCACUUAUAGAUGGAUCCGCGCCGCAUUAGCUAGUUGGUAAGGUAACGGCUUACCAAGGCAACGAUGCGUAGCCGACCUGAGAGGGUGAUCGGCCCCACGGGAACUGAGACACGGUCCAGACUCCUACGGGAGGCAGCAGUAGGGAAUCUUCCGCAAUGGGCGAAAGCCUGACGGAGCAACGCCGCGUGAGUGAUGAAGGUCUUCGGAUCGUAAAACUCUGUUAUUAGGGAAGAACAAAUGUGUAAGUAACUAUGCACGUCUUGACGGUACCUAAUCAGAAAGCCACGGCUAACUACGUG